rnacentral:tRNA from 1 species
CGAUCUGAAGCUCAAAUCGGAAGAGCGCCUGAAUACGAAUCAGGAGGGUUAAGGUUCGAGUCCUUACAGGUCGU